CUGCUUCAACAGCAGAUAUAGAGGAACUGGAAUAACAGCGAAGAUUAGCAUGGUCCCUGCCCAAGGAUGACACACAAUUAUGAAUUAUUUUACAGGUUUAA
rnacentral:snRNA from 1 species